AUUGAACGCUGGCGGCAGGCCUAACACAUGCAAGUCGAGCGAGCGGCGGACGGGUGAGUAAUGUCUGGGAAACUGCCUGAUGGAGGGGGAUAACUACUGGAAACGGUAGCUAAUACCGCAUACCAUCAGAUGUGCCCAGAUGGGAUUAGCUAGUAGGUGGGGUAACGGCUCACCUAGGCGACGAUCCCUAGCUGGUCUGAGAGGAUGACCAGCCAAACGGGGAGUGAGACACGGUCCAGACUCCGACGGGAGGCAGCAGGGGGGAAUAUGGCACAAUGGGCGAAAGCCUGACGCAGCCAUGCCGCGGGGGUGAAGAAGGCCUUCGGGUUGUAAAGCACUUUCGGCGGGGAGGCGUUACCCGAAGAAGAAGAACCGGCUAACUCCGUGCCAGCCGACGAGGUAAGUC
rnacentral:rRNA from 1 species